GAUGAACGCUGGCGGCGUGCCUAAUACAUGCCAGUCGAGCGAACGGACGAGAAGCUUGCUUCUCUGAUGUUAGCGGCGGACGGGUGAGUAACACGUGGAUAACCUACCUAUAAGACUGGGAUAACUUCGGGAAACCGGAGCUAAUACCGGAUAAUAUUUUGAACCGCAUGGUUCAAAAGUGAAAGACGGUCUUGCUGUCACUUAUAGAUGGAUCCGCGCUGCAUUAGCUAGUUGGUAAGGUAACGGCUUACCAAGGCAACGAUGCAUAGCCGACCUGAGAGGGUGAUCGGCCACACUGGAACUGAGACACGGCCCAGACUCCUACGGGAGGCAGCAGUAGGGAAUCUUCCGCAAUGGGCGAAAGCCUGACGGAGCAACGCCGCGUGAGUGAUGAAGGUCUUCGGAUCGUAAAACUCUGUUAUUAGGGAAGAACAUAUGUGUAAGUAACUGUGCACAUCUUGACGGUACCUAAGCAGAAAGCCACGGCUAACUACGU
rnacentral:rRNA from 1 species